rnacentral:tRNA from 1 species
GCGUCGGUGGUAUAACGGUUAGCAUAGCUGCCUUCCAAGCAGUUGACCCGGGUUCGACUCACGGCCGACGCA